rnacentral:rRNA from 1 species
UACGGGGGGGGCAAGCGUUGUUCGGAAUUACUGGGCGUAAAGGGUUCGUAGGUGGCUUGCUAAGUCAGACGUGAAAUCCCUCAGCUUAACUGGGGAACUGCGUCUGAUACUGGCGAGCUUGAGUGCAGGAGAGGAACGCAGAAUUCCAGGUGUAGCGGUGAAGUGCGUAGAUAUCUGGAGGAAUACCGGUGGCGAAGGCGGCGUUCUGGACUGCAACUGACACUGAUGAACGAAAGCCAGGGGAGCAAACGGG